rnacentral:lncRNA from 1 species
CAUAGAAAAACAAGUCUAAUAUCCUUUCACGUAAGUUUUACUCCAAUCCAACUAGUAGAUUGCAAGAAAUCUUAAAAAACCUCACUAGACCUAAAAUUCUACUUUCUGAGACCUUCACCCACUUAAACCUCAAUAUUCCUCAAUUCAACCAUUAGAUCGAGCUCAAAUUCACGACUCAUAUUAAACACAACUAUAACUAUAAACCUACAAAAUUCCACUUAUAGAUCUACUACAAAACUCUUAAAAUCACCCAAAAUAUAAAUCCUAUUUUAUUUCAUAAA